GUGAGUGUGUGUGUGUGUGUAUGUGUGCGUGCAAUGAUAGCAAUCUGGUGGGAUGGUGAACAGUCAACGCUGAAAAGAAGAAUCAAACAGCGUUUCAACUCUGUGUGA